ACCAGCCAUGCAGUGCCACGCUGCCACAUUGUUGACCCUCGCUUUCACCCCACUUCCAGACAUUGACAAGUGAAGCCUUUGGAGCCUCAGUCACUCAUGACUUGCCUCCUUUGUUACCUGCCUGAUCUGCAGUCUCAUGUUGGCCCUGAUUCAUGGUGGUCAGCACGUAAGGUUGUUGUGCCUGGUAGGGGCAGAAAGUUUAGCCACUGAGCAGUACCACAAAAUGGCUGUGACCUUGAACGGACAAAGAACUCAGGAAGUGACAGUUCUGGGUGAUGAUAAGACAGCACAACCUGGUCUUGGACUAAAAAUGCAGUUUUGAUCAAGAAGAAGGAAGACUAAAGUGUGGAUACUUCAGUCCUUCUUAGAAUGGGGAACAAAAUACCCAUGGAAGGAGUUACAGAGACAAAGUUCGGAGCUAAGGCGGAAGGAAGGACAAUCCAGAGACUGCCCCACCUGGGGAUCCAUCCCAUAUACAACCACCAAGCCCAGACACUAUUGCAUAUGCCAGAAAGACUUUGCUGACAGGACCCUGAUAUAGCUCUCUCUUGUGAGGCUAUGCCAGUGCCUGGCAAAUACAGAAGUGGAUGAUCAUAGUCAUCUCUUGGAUGGAACACAGGGCCCCCAACGGAGGAGCUAGAGAAAGUACCCAAGGAGCUGAAGGGUUCUGCAACCCUAUAGGUGGAACAACAAUAUGAACUAACCAGUACACCCAGAGCUUGUGUCUCUAGCUGCACGUGUAGCAGAAGAUGGCCUAGUUGGCCAUCAAUGGGAAGAGAGGUCCCUUGGUCUUCCAAAUUUUAUAUGCCCCAGUACAGGGGAAUGCCAGGGCCAAGAAGUGGAAGUGGGUAGGUAGGGGAGCAGGGUGCGGGGAGGGUAUAGGGGACUUUUGGGAUAGCAUUUGAAAUGUAAAUGAAGAAAAUAACUAAUAAAAAAUUGGAAAAAAUGCA
rnacentral:lncRNA from 1 species